UACAGAGAAACAUAAUAAAUGCAGGGAAUAGUUGUAUUAAAUAUAGGGAAAAGGCUGUAAUAGAUUUCAAGUACUACAACUACUAAGUUUUGUAGCAACAGAAAGUAUAAUGAAUGAAUCAUAGAUGUAAACAAUUUCAGUUUAAUAGAACUAUGGCUGGAAUUAAAGUUUAGUUGCAUUGGCAUUUUCAGGAUCCGUUGGAAUGACACUGCUGGUUUUAGGCUGUGCAUUACCACAGUAUAAGUCAGAAAUUAUUGAUACAACUGCAUCUGUGUCAAAGGAGAAUCAUUGCCCGGAUGAUUUUUUUUACAAAGU